UUAUCUUUUGUUGGUACAGUAAAGGGUGACACACAGCCACAUAACGAUCAACAGCAAUUAAAAUUAAAUUAUAAAGAGAUGCUGAAAUGAGCAGGCCUGUUAUUGCCAAAAACAGUUCACAAAAAGUGUCUCCAAAGUACCAGCAGAUCUGCCUUGAGGCCUCUACGGGCAUAACAAGUCCAACAAGCAUGUCAGCCACAGCCAGAGAGAGAAUGAGCAGGUUGGUUGGAGUGUGAAGCUUCUUGAAGUGAGAGAUGGAGAUGAUCACCAGCAGGUUCAGAAACACAGUCCAUGCUGACAGCAAUGAAAAAAACAUAUACAUGAUAUUGGAUUCAUGCCUGGAGUGUAUUCCCUUGAUACAUGAUGAGUUGAUGGCAGGAAAGCAGCACUGAAUCUCAUGAUCCUCUGUCUCAUAGGCCAUGAGUGAGUCUCCUCCUGUUAGGAGUUUGUUCUGCUCUUCUUACUGUCCUUUCAUUUAUACAGUGUCUGGAUCAGAAUGACCAACCCAUCUACCACCCACACUGAUGCAGCAUAAUUACAUUUAAUUAUUUAUUGUAUGUAUUAAUUUAUUCACACAGUAGCCUGUUCAGCAGCCCAUAAUAAUGAUUAGGGAUGUAGAAUAAGGUCAUGUAGAAUAAGGCAUUAAGUGCUUAAUAAUUACUAAUAAAUGGCUAAUAUUCUAGUAAUAUUCAUGCCAGGGCUCUAGACUAACUUUUUACACUGGUUGCACUGGUGCGCCUACGUUUUUUUCUUAGGUGCACCAGCACAAAAUUUAGGUGCACCCAAAUUUUUGACCGCAUAGCAUUUAACACUGCAGUUUUACAAAAUCACUUUUUAAAUCGCUGCCCAUAUAGGCAAGAUUGACUUGUAAAUGAUUAAGAAACAAUCUGGUCAACAUAAAAGUUCUUUAUUUGAAGCGCAAUUCUACAAGAAAGGUAACUUACUGAAACAGUGUUGGUGCUUAAAGUGCUUCACUGAGCUGAAAUUUAAACUUAGAACAUCUCAAGAUAAAUGAAGUAAAAAGAAAAUCUAAAUUAAGUGUUUUAAGGGCUUCAUACUGAACAUCUCAUGGCUCAAUGUCUUAUGGACUAUCCUCCAUUGCAGUCACAUGCCCCUCGGAUGGCCUACUCCUGGCUAAACCAACUGGCCACACUCUCUCUAGCAUCAAAAUCUUCCAGACUUGGCCCCUCUACACUGAUUCUUAUCAGAUCUUCCACUGUGUCUGAAUGAAGGGAUGCUCUAGUGUCUGCUUUGAACAGCUAAACAAUCCCUAAACAGCUUAUACUACUGUUUCAGCUAUUAAAAUAGUUCAGUUUUGUAUGUAAUAGCAAAGCGAUUAUAUUUCGUUUCAUUUUUUUAUUAAGUUAAUUUAGAAAAACGUUUGGAGCAUUUUUUGCUGGUUAAAUAUAAGUUUUUUUUUUUUUUAAAGUAACGGCCAAGUGGCCAGCAUAAGACAGUGAGCCUAUGUUUAUUCAAUUUAGCCUUCUCAAAUCAUCAAAGAGUCAUUCUCUGAGAAUAUACUAGACAGCUGGUUGGAACAUCCAUACUCAGAAAUCAGGUUCAGUAGGUAUCUUGAAU
ensembl:lncRNA